GACGAACGCUGGCGGCGUGCCUAAUACAUGCAAGUCGAGCGAGCGGAACUAACAGAUUUACUUCGGUAAUGACGUUAGGAAAGCGAGCGGCGGAUGGGUGAGUAACACGUGGGGAACCUGCCCCAUAGUCUGGGAUACCACUUGGAAACAGGUGCUAAUACCGGAUAAGAAAGCAGAUCGCAUGAUCAGCUUUUAAAAGGCGGCGUAAGCUGUCGCUAUGGGAUGGCCCCGCGGUGCAUUAGCUAGUUGGUAAGGUAAAGGCUUACCAAGGCGAUGAUGCAUAGCCGAGUUGAGAGACUGAUCGGCCACACUGGGACUGAGACACGGCCCAAACUCCUACGGGAGGCAGCAGUAGGGAAUCUUCCACAAUGGACGCAAGUCUGAUGGAGCAACGCCGCGUGAGUGAAGAAGGUUUUCGGAUCGUAAAGCUCUGUUGUUGGUGAAGAAGGAUAGAGGUAGUAACUGGCCUUUAUUUGACGGUAAUCAACCAGAAAGUCACGGCUAACUACGUG
rnacentral:rRNA from 1 species